rnacentral:rRNA from 1 species
CCUACGGGUGGCAGCAGUCGAGAAUCAUUCACAAUGGGGGAAACCCUGAUGGUGCGACGCCGCGUGGGGGAAUGAAGGUCUUCGGGUUGUAAACCCCUGUCAUGUGGGAGCAAAUUAAAAAGAUAGUACCACAAGAGGAAGCGACGGCUAACUCUGUGCCAGCAGCCGCGGUAAUACAGAGGUCUCAAGCGUUGUUCGCAAUCACUGGGCGUAAAGCGUGCGUAGGCUGUUUCGUAGGUCGUGUGUGAAAGGCGCGGGCUCAACCCGCGGACGGCACAUGAUACUGCGAGACUAGAGUGAUGGAGGGGGAACCGGAAUUCUCGGUGUAGCAGUGAAAUGCGUAGAUAUCGAGAGGAACACUCGUGGCGAAGGCGGGUUCCUGGACAUUAACUGACGCUGAGGCACGAAGGCCAGGGGAGCGAAAGGGAUUAGAUACCCUGGUAGUC